rnacentral:rRNA from 1 species
AGAGUUUGAUCCUGGCUCAGGACGAACGCUGGCGGCACGCUUAACACAUGCAAGUCGAACGAGAGAAGAGAAGCUUGCUUUUCUGAUCUAGUGGCGGACGGGUGAGUAACACGUGAGCAAUCUGCCUUUCAGAGGGGGAUACCGAUUGGAAACGAUCGUUAAUACCGCAUAACAUAAUUGAACCGCAUGAUUUGAUUAUCAAAGAUUUAUCGCUGAAAGAUGAGCUCGCGUCUGAUUAGCUAGUUGGUAAGGUAACGGCUUACCAAGGCGACGAUCAGUAGCCGGACUGAGAGGGUGAUCGGCCACAUUGGGACUGAGACACGGCCCAGACUCCUACGGGAGGCAGCAGUGGGGAAUAUUGCACAAUGGAGGAAACUCUGAUGCAGCGAUGCCGCGUGAGGGAAGAAGGUUUUAGGAUUGUAAACCUCUGUCUUCAGGGACGAAAAAUGACGGUACCUGAGGAGGAAGCUCCGGCUAACUACGUGCCAGCAGCCGCGGUAAUACGUAGGGAGCGAGCGUUGUCCGGAAUUACUGGGUGUAAAGGGAGCGUAGGCGGGAUCGCAAGUCAGAUGUGAAAACUAUGGGCUUAACCCAUAAACUGCAUUUGAAACUGUGGUUCUUGAGUGAAGUAGAGGUAAGCGGAAUUCCUAGUGUAGCGGUGAAAUGCGUAGAUAUUAGGAGGAACAUCAGUGGCGAAGGCGGCUUACUGGGCUUUAACUGACGCUGAGGCUCGAAAGCGUGGGGAGCAAACAGGAUUAGAUACCCUGGUAGUCCACGCCGUAAACGAUGAUUACUAGGUGUGGGGGGACUGACCCCUUCCGUGCCGCAGCAAACGCAAUAAGUAAUCCACCUGGGGAGUACGACCGCAAGGUUGAAACUCAAAGGAAUUGACGGGGGCCCGCACAAGCAGUGGAGUAUGUGGUUUAAUUCGA